rnacentral:rRNA from 1 species
GAUGAACGCUGGCGGCGUGCCUAAUACAUGCAAGUCGAGCGAACGGACGAGAAGCUUGCUUCUCUGAUGUUAGCGGCGGACGGGCGAGUAACACGUGGAUAACCUACCUAUAAGACUGGGAUAACUUCGGGAAACCGGAGCUAAUACCGGAUGAUAUUUUGAACCGCAUGGUUCAAAAGUGAAAGACGGUCUUGCUGUCACUUAUAGAUGGAUCCGCGCUGCAUUAGCUAGUUGGUAAGGUAACGGCUUACCAAGGCAACGAUGCAUAGCCGACCUGAGAGGAUGAUCAGCCACACUGGAACUGAGACACGGUCCAGACUCCUACGGGAGGCAGCAGUAGGGAAUCUUCCGCAAUGGGCGAAAGCCUGACGGAGCAACGCCGCGUGAGUGAUGAAGGUCUUCGGAUCGUAAAACUCUGUUAUUAGGGAAGAACAGAUGUGUAAGUAACUGUGCACAUCUUGACGGUACCUAAUCAGAAAGCCACGGCUAACUACGUG